CCUACGGGGGGCAGCAGUGGGGAAUAUUGCGCAAUGGGGGCAACCCUGACGCAGCAACGCCGCGUGAUUGAAGAAGGCCUUCGGGUUGUAAAGAUCUUUAAUCAGGGACGAAAAAUGACGGUACCUGAAGAAUAAGCGCCGGCUAACUACGUGCCAGCAGCCGCGGUAAUACGUAGGGAGCAAGAGUUAUCCGGAUUUACUGGGUGUAAAGGGCGUGUAGGCGGGCCUGUAAGUCGGAAGUGAAAUCUGGGGGCUUAACCCCCAAACUGCUUUUGAAACUGCGGGUCUUGAGUGAUGUAGAGGCAGGCGGAAUUCCCAGUGUAGCGGUGAAAUGCGUAGAUAUUUGGGGGAACACCAGUGGCGAAGGCGGCCUGCGGGACAUUAACUGACGCUGAGGCGCGAAAGCGUGGGGAGCAAACAGGAUUAGAUACCCUUGUAGUC
rnacentral:rRNA from 1 species